CGAGUCGGCCGGGCGGUCGCGGCAGCCGGUACCGGCGUCGGGUGUUUCGGCAUCACGACGCGCUGGCCGGAUGUCGAGGAAAGUCCGGACUCCACAGGGCAGGGCGGUUGCCAACGGCAACCCGGGGCGACCCGCGGGACAGUGCCACAGAGAACAGACCGCCGGCGCGAGCCGGUAAGGGUGAAACGGUGCGGUAAGAGCGCACCAGCGGCUCGGGUGACCGGGCCGGCUCGGUAAACCCCGCCCGGAGCAAGGUCGAAGGUCGCACUCACCGGAGUGCGGCUGCGCAGGUGUUCGAGGGCUGCCCGCCCGAGCCUGCGGGUGGACCGCUUGAGGUACCCGGCGACGGUGUGCCCAGAUGGAUGAUCGCCGCCGGCUUCGGCCGGCACAGGAUCCGGCUUACAGGCCGGCUCGUCCG
rnacentral:RNase_P_RNA from 1 species